rnacentral:misc_RNA from 1 species
GAAAUGCGAUAAGUAAUGUGAAUUGCAGAAUUCAGUGAAUCAUCGAAUCUUUGAACGCACAUUGCGCCCGCCAGCACUCUGGCGGGCAUGCCUGUUCGAGCGUCAUUUCAACCCUCAGAACCCCUUGCGGGAUCUGGCGUUGGGGAUUGGCAUCCAGCCAGCCCCGAAAUCUAGUGGCGGUCCCUCCGCGACCUCCCCUGUGCAGUAGCGAUACCUCGCAGCGGGACAGCGGUCUGACCACGCCGUAAAACCCCCAACUUCUCAAGGUUGACCUCGAAUCAGGUAGGAAUGCCCGCAGAACACAAGC